rnacentral:lncRNA from 1 species
AUGUUCUUCGAGGCCAAAGCGGGGUGGGGUGGUAAACAGGGGCCGCGAAUGCGGGCUGCCAGUAGCUGCUCAGUCCCCGUCUCGGGUCUCGGUGGUUAGACACGGGUCCUGCCCAGAGGCGCCUAGGCGAGAACCCGAAGGAGGGUUCAUCUAUCCACACCGGGUGCCUCCCAGAGGAGAGGGACAGUCAGGUGUAGCUGCCUCUGAACCGUAGUGGCCGCCAGCCUCUGCCGAGGACGCACACCCAGGUGGUGGUGAUGGUGAUGGGGAGUGUGCAGAGGCUGUGGUCUUGGGUGCCAUGGUGCGGAGCAAAGGCGACGUAUGGCACAGGCGCUGGGUGGGGCCCAGUCCUUUGUCCCAGGCCAUGGCUAGACGGCAGAAUUGUACAAAGCUAUACCUCCCAGGCUGCGGGGAGGAGGGGUGUCAGUAAUGUGUGUGUGUGUGUGUGUGUGUGUGUUGGCGGGGGGGGGGGGGGGUCCUUUUGGUGUCAGUAGCUCUAAUAGAAAGAUUUGUUGGUUUGAGAAUUAGGUAUAUAUUCAGAAAGCGAAGGAUGUUAACUUUUAAGCGAAUCUGUUUCCGAGAAUUUGGGAUUAGGAAUGUGGGUAGUAAAAAUUCCAGCUGCGAGAGCAACCUACAUUUACAGCAUUAAAAAUUAUGAUGGAUCCUGACUCAGUGAUUCCCACCUGUAGUCGCAGCUACUUAGGAGGUUGCUUGAGUCCAGGAGUUCAGGGCCAGCCUGGACACACAACAAGACCCGUUUCAAAAAACUCAAUAAAUAAACAUAAAAAUUAAGGAAUGAUAAAAUGCUUAAGAAAAAGUCUUUCUACCUCUUCAGUCUCCAUUCUUUCAACCCUCCUCACCCAACAGGAAGCUGCUACUGUUAGUUUCUUACACAGGUUUUAGAUUAUUUUUAUACAUACCCAAGAAGUAAAGACAUUUUUUCUUAAUAUUUUUCUUCACCUUGGUUUUAUUUUCUUAGUACAACUUUUAUGUCAGAGCUUUGAGAAGAGCUAUGUCCAAGGGCAUCAGAGGACUCUUCUGCCAAAAUCUCUGAGCAACUGUUAAUUUACUUUUGAGUUUGUAGAGGAAGGAAUGGAGCCUUUGGAUCAAAGUUGAGGGUGAUAGAUCCUAGAAAGUCACCAAUCAGCCCAGUAUUCAUGUCAGGUAAUAUUAUGGGAAAGAUGAUUUAUCAAAUGGUUUAUUGUUAUUUCUCUCUGAGCAGCAUGGGGAAAUGUCCUGGAAAUAAGACAGAUCAAGUGCAAUGUUCACCAACUAAACAGGACUCAGCCUGAGGAGUGAUCCAGAAGAGGGUGUCACUGCCAACUCCAGCUUACCCACAUGUCCUGGAUGGCACCUGGAGAUCCCAGGCCAGUGGUUGAGUGGAUCAAAAAAAGUAAUGUGUGUGAAUGGAGGAUCUCAAAGUCACAGUCAAGGCUCCCUCCCUGACAGCCUGGUACAUCCAAAGGGCAACAUGUUGCCCCUUGAUAAGGUGAAGGGUUUGCUUAGAACCCUUCAUCAGCCAGGUUUUGAUUUGGGUAAACGGUUCUGAUUAUUAAGCAUAAAAGAUGGGAAGUUUCCGGUGGUGGUAGUGGUGGGGGUUUUUGUUGUUGUUGGUUUUGUUGUUGUUUUAAGAAAUGGGGUCUUGGGGUUGGGGUUCUGGCACAGUGGCAGAGCACUUGCCUCACAUGUGUGAGGAAGUAGGUUUGAUUUUC